GCCACGUGUGUGUCGUGAGCUCUAAGCACGUGAGUGUGUGUUGUCAUCUGCUGCUGCGCGAUAAGGAACAUUUUGUCAAGAGCGUACAAGACGAAAAGCGGGAUGUAUCUAUAUACCGUCCGUGCAUUGGCUGACGCGGAGGUAUGCUACCGACACGGCUGCGUGGACGCGGGCACGAAGAAAGGAGCGCCGACUGACCAACGAUACUUUGACUGCGCAGCAUGUGUGCCACUCAAGUGCAACAGUUCACGAGGCAUCCCAGGCCCCGAAAGAAGUUGGAAGAAGAUGCAAGCGCAGCAUGCCAAUGUUGAAUAUGCCAGCACGAAGUUUCCAGGCGCAAGUGUUUCUUAUAUAAAAGAAAGCCUAUUCUCUCCCCUCACAAGGGAAAUAAAAUCACUAUAUAAAAAUGCC